AUUAGAAGCACAUUUGAAGCACAUAUAUGGCGAAGACUCCAAAAUCUGUUUAUAUCCUUCUUAUAAUUAUAUUCAUUAUCUUCAUCUUCGUUACAAGUGAGGCAAAACAUUGCCCGCGUUGGAGCCAAACAUGGCAUAAAAGAUGCGCAUACGACAGCCACUGCGACAAAAAAUGCAAAGAACUGGAGCGUGCGGAUUACGGAAUAUGCCUAAGGCUUCAUUGGUGGUCAUUUAGUUUUCACUGUUACUGCUACUUCGACUGUUGAAUGGGUUUUAGGCAGAUGGGUAGGUGGCUGGAAUGCUUAGGCUUUUGAGGGUCAUCAUCUCAUCCACUAUGUUACUUUAUUGUAUUUAUAUUUUGUUAAACUAUGUUUUAUGUUAGUAAUUGCAUCUGGCACAGACAAAAAAAAAAUGGAUCACUCAACUUGUUAAGUCGUGUUGUUAUGUACUCUUUAUGUUAAGAACUUAUGCUUCCGCAAAAAUAUUAUUUUCUCAUGGCAUGCAUGGUAGUAGUUUACAAGUGCCAUAGCGUCUUAAUAUGUAACAUUGCGCCUCUGAAACUGUAAGGCUAACGGACUAGACUCUUUUGGGUCUAGGCAUUACAAUAACAAUAACAAUAACAAAAAUGCUCUUUUCCUUGAA